CCCAGACUCCUACGGGAGGCAGCAGUGGGGAAUAUUGCACAAUGGGGGGAACCCUGAUGCAGCGACGCCGCGUGGGUGAAGGAGUAUUUCGGUAUGUAAAGCCCUAUCAGCAGGGAAGAACAAUGACGGUACCUGACUAAGAAGCACCGGCUAAAUACGUGCCAGCAGCCGCGGUAAUACGUAGGGGGCAAGCGUUAUCCGGAUUUACUGGGUGUAAAGGGAGCGUAGACGGCAGUGCAAGUCUGGAGUGAAAGGCGGGGGCUCAACCCCCGGACUGCUCUGGAAACUGUACGGCUGGAGUGCAGGAGAGGUAAGUGGAAUUCCUAGUGUAGCGGUGAAAUGCGUAGAUAUUAGGAGGAACACCAGUGGCGAAGGCGGCUUACUGGACUGUAACUGACGUUGAGGCUCGAAAGCGUGGGGAGCAAACAGGAUUAGAUACCCCAGUAUC
rnacentral:rRNA from 1 species